CCUACGGGAGGCAGCAGUGGGGAAUAUUGCACAAUGGGGGAAACCCUGAUGCAGCGACGCCGCGUGAGUGAAGAAGUAUUUCGGUAUGUAAAGCUCUAUCAGCAGGGAAGAAAAUGACGGUACCUGAUUAAGAAGCCGCGGCUAACGACGUGCCAGCAGCCGCGGUAAUACGUAGGGGGCAAGUGUUAUCCGGAUAUACUGGGUGUAAAGGGAGCGUAGACGGGAGCACAAGUCUGGGGGGAAAUGCCGGGGCUUAACCCCGGGACUGCUUUGGAAACUGUGCAGCUAGAGUGCAGGAGAGGUAAGUGGAAUUCCUGGUGGAGCGGUGAAAUGCGUAGAUAUUUGGAAGAACACCAGUGGCGAAGGCGGCUUACUGG
rnacentral:rRNA from 1 species